GAUGAACGCUGGCGGCGUGCCUAAUACAUGCAAGUCGAGCGAACAGACGAGGAGCUUGCUCCUCUGACGUUAGCGGCGGACGGGUGGGUAACACGUGGAUAACCUACCUAUAAGACUGGGAUAACUUCGGGAAACCGGAGCUAAUACCGGAUAACAUGUUGAACCGCAUGGUUCAACAGUGAAAGACGGUUUUGCUGUCACUUAUAGAUGGAUCCGCGUCGCAUUAGCUAGUUGGUAAGGUAACGGCUUACCAAGGCAACGAUGCGUAGCCGACCUGAGAGGGUGAUCGGCCACCCUGGAACUGAGACACGGUCCAGACUCCUACGGGAGGCAGCAGUAGGGAAUCUUCCGCAAAGGGCGAAAGCCUGACGGAGCAACGCCGCGUGAGUGAAGAAGGUCUUCGGAUCGUAAAACUCUGUUAUUAGGGAAGAACAAAUGUGUAAGUAACUAUGCACGUCUUGACGGUACCUAAUCAGAAAGCCACGGCUAACUACGUG
rnacentral:rRNA from 1 species